GACGAACGCUGGCGGCGUGCUUAACACAUGCAAGUCGAACGGAAAGGCCCUGCUUUUGUGGGGUGCUCGAGUGGCGAACGGGUGAGUAACACGUGAGUAACCUGCCCUUAACUUUGGGAUAACUUCAGGAAACUGGGGCUAAUACCGGGUAGGAGCUCCUGCUGCAUGGUGGGGGUUGGAAAGUUUCGGCGGUUGGGGAUGGACUCGCGGCUUAUCAGCUUGUUGGUGGGGUAGUGGCUUACCAAGGCUUUGACGGGUAGCCGGCCUGAGAGGGUGACCGGCCACAUUGGGACUGAGAUACGGCCCAGACUCCUACGGGAGGCAGCAGUGGGGAAUAUUGCACAAUGGGCGGAAGCCUGAUGCAGCAACGCCGCGUGCGGGAUGACGGCCUUCGGGUUGUAAACCGCUUUCGCCUGUGACGAAGCGUGAGUGACGGUAAUGGGUAAAGAAGCACCGGCUAACUACGUG
rnacentral:rRNA from 1 species